UACGUAGGGCGCAAGCGUUGUCCGGAAUUAUUGGGCGUAAAGAGCUCGUAGGCGGCUUGUCACGUCGGUUGUGAAAGCCCGGGGCUUAACCCCGGGUCUGCAGUCGAUACGGGCAGGCUAGAGUUCGGUAGGGGAGAUCGGAAUUCCUGGUGUAGCGGUGAAAUGCGCAGAUAUCAGGAAGAACACCGAUGGCGAAGGCAGUUCUCUGGGCCGUAACUGACGCUGAGGAGCGAAAGCGUGGGGAGCGAACAGG
rnacentral:rRNA from 1 species